rnacentral:tRNA from 1 species
GCGGAGUAGAGCAGUCUGGCUAGCUCGCAAGGCUCAUAACCUUGAGUGUCAUGGGUUCGAAUCCCGUCUCC